rnacentral:rRNA from 1 species
AGAGUUUGAUUAUGGCUCAGAACGAACGCUGGUGGCGUGUCUUAUACAUGCAAGUCGAGCGAGGCAGCAAUGCCGAGCGGCGAACGGGUGAGUAACGCGUAAGCAAUCUGCCCCGUAUCAGGAAAUACCCGUGCCAACGCGCGGUUAAUGUCCAGGAGAGUGGGAGCCUGCAUGGGCUCUUGACUAGAGAUUUAUCGGUACGGGAUGAGCUUGCGUCCGAUUAGCUAGUUGGCGGGGCAACGGCCCACCAAGGCGACGAUCAGUAGCCGACCUGAGAGGGUGAUCGGCCACAUUGGAACUGAGACACGGUCCAAACUCCUACGGGAGGCAGCAGUGGGGAAUAUUGCACAAUGGGCGCAAGCCUGAUGCCAGCAACGCCGCGUGAACGAAGAAGGCUCUUGGGUCGUAAAGUUCUGUUCUGAGGGAAGAAGAUCUGACGGUACCUCAGGAGAAAGCCCCGGCUAACUACGUGCCAGCCGCUGC